GCAUUUUUGGCUCAAGUGGGUAGAGGUUUGACUGGUGAGCAGAAGACCGGGGUUCGACUCCCCACUGUGGUA